AUACUUACCCGGCAGGGGAAGGAGACACCAUGGUCAUGAAAGUGGUUUCCCAGGGGAGGCUUAUCCUUGCCCUCUGGAUAUGCUGACUCCUACAGUUUCCCCAAAUGUGGGAAACUCUACUGUGUAAUUUGUGGUAAUGGGGGACUGCAUUCUUGCUUUCCCCUG
ensembl:snRNA U1 U1 spliceosomal RNA